GGUUAUAGCUCAGAGGUGGAGCGCUUGCCUCACAUGUAAGAGUUACUGGGUUCGAUUCUCAGCACCA
rnacentral:tRNA from 1 species